UAAUUCUUAUAAAAUGACAUUAAUGUGCUAC
rnacentral:piRNA from 1 species